rnacentral:lncRNA from 1 species
UUAUAUACUUUUAUAAUUUUUAUUGUCUAACUAAAAGUAAAGGACGCAGAUUUCAGUUACUGUUCACAAGUUGUUGGCUCAACCAUUUUUGGAUUGAGAGUUUGCUGAGCUACUUGGAAAUAAGCUGAAUUUUUAGACGACGGCGUAUUGUGUAAUUAAAAGAUGAUAAGUGUUCCUUCUGUUUCUGGAAUAUUCAUUUCGUCUCUAGUUUUCUCUUUGUUUUUAGAUCUAAUUUUCAUUUUCAACAAAUCUUCAAAUUUUGGUUAUGGACUGAUGUUUAGCAAAAUCUGAGAGUUAGCAACGGUGGCAACUUCCACUUCGACAGGACAAUCACCAUCUCCUCCCACCAAAUUCACCCACUUCUCUGCCUCGGGUUUUUAGAUACACUUGUUCUGUAGAAAAAUUCAAGGUGUUAGAUCUAAAGCUUUUUGUUUGUGCUGAUAAAUUUUGCAAUUUGUGCUCAAUGUUUUGUUGACUUAUGGAAGUUGGUAGUGUUUCAUGGGAUUUUAGUUGGCUAAAGGUACCACUUCAAUGACUAGAAGCCCUAAAUUUUCUUAGAAUUGUUUCAUGACUUCGCAAAACAAAAUAAAAUUCAUUUAUUACUGGGUUUCAGUUUUGCUUCACUUUAUUGAUGCUUUAAAACAUCCUGAUUAAAAUAGUGUGUUUUCGUUCCAAUAUUUUGAUUCUGCUUGAAAGGCUCUUUUCUUGAUAUGUGAGCAUCAAUUUUUAUGCUUUGCAGCCUAUCUGGAGGAUUCUGCAAGCGUGCAAGCCAGGCUGUAAGAAAAUGAAAACAGUAAGAACUAGAUAACAUAAUUCUUCUUCUUAAAUCUUUUAUAUGACUUAAAUCUAUACUGUUUCAUUAUCACCACAAAAAACAAAAGCAAAAAAAUUCAAAAGCAAUUAAUUUUAUAUAAUUCAAGUAUUUCCAUACCAUAUAUUGCUUUCUAUUCUUUAUUUGUGUCAUUUGAUUUUUGAUAAUUUUAAAAUUCGCCAAAAGGGAUUGUUAUUAGGUUUCACAACCUUAUGUUAAUCAUAUUAUCCUUGUAGUGUACGCCAUAAAAAGGAGUUGAAGUGAGUUUUUUCUUGUUGAGAUGAGCCAAUUACUGGUAGAUUUAUACGUGUCGUUGUGUAUGUAUUUUCACUGUUUCUAUAAUAUAUCUCUAAAAACAUAGGAUUUGACUUUUGAAAAUAGAGAGGAUUCUCCAUCUGUCUCAAAAAUUGGGCUGACUUAUUCAGCAAGCGAUCGUGUUCUUCCCAUCUGCAAUAACUGCUCGAUUCUACAAACAAGGAUCUGUUUAAUUCCGAAGGAAAAUUUAGAGAUUAAGAAAGGCAACUGCAGAUAAUUAUGGGGGACAUAUGGCUUUUCAGUGACAAUCCCCUGCUGUUCAUCUAGCAAAAGGAAGGAAUGGCCACACAAAUGGAUAUUCUGAGAUCGAAAGCAAUCUCGACUCUUAAGAAAAAGGGUGGGGAAAUUGGGAUAUAACAUUGAAACGUUAAGAAGGGAAGCGAGUGGGUUAAAGGAAGUAAUAAUCCGAAAACUCGAAACUUUUGGGCCGUCUUAUCUUCUAUAAAUUCAAAAUAAUAGAAAUUUCAAACAUCUGUUUUUUACGUGUGAUAAAGAUUAAGAAGAAAAGUAGAUAUUAUGGUAUCUUGUUAAUAUAUAACUAAGAAAAACAUUUUGAAAACAAAAUCAAAGAUAGUUAUUUUUAAAAGUGAAAAUUUGUGUCUUUGUAUUAAUUUUCAUGCUAUUAUACUUAUUCAAGACAUCUUUCGGUAAGCUUCCAAGAUUGAGCUUCUUUGUUCAUCUUGUGGAAUUAAUUGAUGACUGUAGGUGUUUGGUCAAGAAUGCUUGUUUGGUUUUACCGUUCUUGAUUAAUCUUCAGCUUCAAUUGAUUUUCAUGAUUUUGGUUUUUUUUUUUUUUUUUUUUUUCCCUCAGCAAAAAGAAAGAACAUUUUUGUUUGUUCUGAUUAUAUGUCAUAAUUUAUUGUAUCUAUUUAAUGAGCUAAACCAUGUGGUAUUUCCUAAUUGUUUCUAUGCACAACUGAAAAACAAUGCAAUUUCGUUCUUCACAUGUCCUAUUACUAAAUAGUAUUUGAUCCAUUUCACUUCGCUUGCACUUUAGCGACAUGAGUUUUUGUUGACUUCCUCGAAGUGAGAUGCGUUUGAUGUUACAGGUGCCUUCCAGAAUUUCAGGG